AAAACAUAAACAAGGUAGAAAAUUACAGCAAAGCAGAAAUUCAAUCUAAAAUCUUAAGCCCUCCAUCUUUAUAUAAGGCAGUAAAGUCUCUUAAUGAGAGAGAAAUAGCAAUUUCAAAAGCCAAAUGUCUGGACACAGGAAUAACAGGAAAGCAUUGUCAUAAAACAAAUGCAUGAUUUUAGAAACCUAGAGUAAGAAAGAAAAUAGCCAGGCACGGUGGCUCACACCUGUAAUCCCAGUCUGGGUAAACUUUUAAGAUAAAACAUUUACAAAGUUCC
rnacentral:lncRNA from 10 species